rnacentral:misc_RNA from 1 species
GUAUUAAUUGCGUGUGAUCGCAAAAGAAAAACAUUCUACACUGUAUCGAGUUUGUGUGAAAACGUGAGCCCCCGAAAGGGGACCCACGCGGUGGUGCACAUAGGGGUGAGAUGGAUGUUUGAGAACGCUCGGGCGUGCACGACGAAAAAGUCAGCGACAGCCCUCGCAUGCCUCACACAUUUUGUACGAUAAUGAUCCUUCCGCAGGUUCACCUACGGAAA